rnacentral:rRNA from 1 species
GAUGAACGCUAGCUACAGGCUUAACACAUGCAAGUCGAGGGGCAGCAUGGUCGUUGCUUGCAAUGACCGAUGGCGACCGGCGCACGGGUGAGUAACGCGUAUCCAACCUUCCCCCUACCCGGGUAUAGCCCGCCGAAAGGCGGAUUAAUCCCCGAUACGUCCCCUGACGGCAUCAGGCGGGGACGAAAGGUAUUCCGGUAAGGGAUGGGGAUGCGUCCGAUUAGCUUGUUGGCGGGGUAACGGCCCACCAAGGCAACGAUCGGUAGGGGUUCUGAGAGGAAGGUCCCCCACAUUGGAACUGAGACACGGUCCAAACUCCUACGGGAGGCAGCAGUGAGGAAUAUUGGUCAAUGGACGCAAGUCUGAACCAGCCAUGCCGCGUGCAGGAUGACGGCUCUAUGAGUUGUAAACUGCUUUUGUAUAAGGGUAAAAUUAGGUACGUGUACCUAACUGAAAGUACUAUACGAAUAAGGGUCGGCUAACUCCGUG